GAUACCCUAUUAGUAUUAAUAAAAAUUUAGUAGUAAGUGUUGAACAUGAAACUAAAGUUAAUUGGCGGCAAUUUAAAUUUUUUAGAGGAAUUUAUUCUGUUAAGGAUUCAACACCAAAAUCUUACUUUUACUAGUUUUAUUUAUAUAACUAAAGUCAGUUUGUAUAUCUCUAUUUAAAAAUAUAUAAUAUAUUUUAUUUAUCUUUUUAGAAAAAUUUUAGGUAAAGAUGCAGCUUAUGUAAAAGAUUGAAAUAAAUUAUAUAAAUUUUUAUUUAACUAUAUUUUGUUUUGUAAUUUAAGGAUAAAGUAAAAUUUAAAAGUAAAAUAAGUAUAUAUUAUUUAUUUGAAUAAUAAUUUAUUUGUGUACAUAUUGCCCGUCACUCUCUUUUAGAGAUAAGUC
rnacentral:rRNA from 1 species